rnacentral:lncRNA from 1 species
AUAUUAAGUGACCUGACAGAGAUCCCUCCUGAGUGCUUGGCAUCUCCUUUCCAUUUCUAUCUGUUCUACAGAAACUCCUUUGUUUUUUGACAAGAUUGGAAUGACACAGGUAGCUCAGUAGGAGUGAGAACUCAGGAAGGAACAAGAGUCAUGCCUGUUUUCCCAAUUCCUGCUGUCCAGCGUCCUUCUUCUUCUUUCUGGGAUACUCCCGACAUGUACUAAGAACCACCUCCAACCUUGUCAGAUGAGACUUUGCCAAUUUUUAUGCAAGAGUAAAAAUUCUAAGUUCCAUGAAAGCAGGCAUUGUGUGAAUUUCUCCUGCAUCUGGAACUGGCCUAGCACACCAACCAACAGAAUGCUGAAUGAGGAAAAAUGGAAAGCAUUCCCUCAGAGAACUGGAGCAAGACAAGGAUGCCCACUCUCACCACUCCUCUUCAACACAGUACUGGGAGUCCCAGCCAGAGCAAUCGGACAAGAGAAAGAAAUAAAGGGGGUCUAGAUCGGUAAGAAGAAGUCAAACUGUUGCUGUUUGCUGAUGAUAUGACUGUUUACUUAGAAAACCCUAAAGACUCCUCCAGAAAGCUCCUAGAACUGCCAAAAGGAUUCAGCGAAGUUUCUGGAUACAAAAUUAAGGUACACAAAUUAGUAGCUCUUUCAUACACCAACAGUGACCAUGCUGAGAAUCAAAUCAAGAACUCAACCUCUUUUACAACAGCUGCAAUAAAAUAAAACGAAACAAAAUAAAAUAAAAUAUUUAGGAAUAUACCUAACCAAGGAGGUGAAAGACAUCUACAAGGAAAACUACAAAACACUGCUGAAAGAAAUUAUAGACGACACAAACAAAUGGA